GAAGAGCCUCAUUAAAGCUGCAUUCAAGGUGGGAGCCCACCUACUAUUCAACGGAAGUGGCUCUGCUACCAGCUUCCAUAAUUGAAUUCUAAUGAAAUAACACAAAAUGUAGCUAAAAUCCUUUAGAUGAUCCCACUCAUAUCCAUAGCCCAUUAAAAGAGGCAAUGAGUCACAGGCUAAGGGUUCUGAAGAGUGCCUUUCUUCACAUAUGACAAAACAAUGGAGGCCCAGUGAGGUAAAACGGUUUGUGCAGAAUUAGAGCUGACUGGCAUCCAUCUCCUGAGGCUCAGGGUUGCCCUUCACAGAGGAAGCAGCGGACAAGUUGAAAACUGGAAAGGUGGCUUCAAGCUAAGCGCAAACAAUACAGUGUUCAAUGUGAUGGUGCCCGUGGAAAGCUGGCCACAGUGGCUGGGAUGCCCUCACAGAAUGUGCAUGCAGGGAAGUUCUCGUCUCAACAACACAUGGCCGUAAUUUUGUUUAUACACAUUGUACUGUUGCAGUGUAAGAAUUUUUGAAAUCACAAGUAUAAUUGCAAAAGACAGAGUUAUUUCUAUGAAAAAUGGAUUGGAUGAUUUGGCAAAACCCGGUAGAGGCAAAUGUCUAAGAGUAUUUAUUUAAGUACAUGUGUUCUCAUGCCAUAAACGACUGGGGGAAAAAAACUCAUGAAAAUCAAGAAGGAUGCUGCACUCAGCUUGCUUAUGUUCUUCAAGUUCUGCUCCACUUAAAAACACCAAAAUUAGAAAUCAUAGAUCGUGGGUGUGAUUUCUGCAGGAACUCAGAUCAGUUCAACCCUAAUCAAAGAACACAGGGUGGAGCUAUCUCAAAGUACUGAUGAAUGAGCAUUUAUAUAUUUAAUAUAAAAUAAAAUGUUCAAGGCAUGUGUGUAUCAUUUUUAAUAAUUGUCCUGUUUUACUCUCUAUUUUUGUGAAUUUAUCUUUUCAAUUAACCAGUUGCUCCUGAUCCCAAUUGACUAACGAAGACAUUCUAUUGAAGGUGAUUUUUCAUUUUACCUUUUAUGUGUUAGUAUUUUACAGUAUGUCUUUUACCAUAUGUCCUUUAUUUGGUAAGUUCCGGUUUUUAUUUUACACUGUUUUAUAAUAAAUGCGUUGUGCACUUCUGUCACCUUUUUUUCCCUGGUGGACUCUAGACACAAGGGUGAUUGCCUAAUUAUACUGUGCUGCUUAUAAGAAGCAGAUUAGUUAAGUGGCUUCUUAGAUGAACAGUGCAAAGUGCCACAUGAAAGCUGGAGGAAAAAUAUCCCCAAGAACAAAAGAGCUUUAAAAUGUUGUUUUAUUUUUUAAAAUUCCGGUGUCUGAGAAAACAUCAUUUCUUCAAAAUUAAGUGACUCUAUUUUCUAAGAACUCUUAAGUAGGAGCGAAGAUGAGAACUGAAUAAAUGUGAUGUGCUUCUCUCUUGGCCUCUAGGUAAUAAAUUCUGCACUAUACAGAUUACACUAGACGUGAAUCUGUUUCUUGUUUUAUGCUGAGAGCAAGAUCACUAAGACAUACUUUACCUUCCUUAACAGAAUCUAUCUUUCUCAAUGAUGGUGAUAAAGCAGAUUUUUCUACAUUGGUAGAAAACUCAUUCUAAUCGAAGUUGAAUAGUUCCAAGCUGUUAGAAUUUUCUAAGCAAAAGAAUAGCAAGAUGCUCCAAGGAUACAACAAAUGAAAUUCAACGGUUAUUUACAAAUUCAGCUGUUCACCGAAAACGAAAAGCUUCUUAAAAAAUUAGGGUGGUUGAGUCUGAAGUAUGGUUUGGAGAAGUGAUUUUUUUAAAUAGGGUAUUUAUAAAAAUAUACUUGAGAAACCAAUCCAGGGGAGUCAAAAUGGAUGCAACCAAACCUUAAGAAUAUAAAGCAGUGCAAACAAUCCAAAAGCAGUGCUUCUUAGGAUUAAGCCAUGUGCACAUUUAAAGGUUAGGAGAAUUUCAGCGUGUGGCUUGGCUGGACCUUUUCUGUUUCCAUUACGAUCAUACUAUUGUCAGAAAUCCCAGCUAGCAAGCAGGCAAGAGAUCAUGAGGAAAAUCAAACAGGAGUAGAACCACUGGGGCUGCCUGAAUUUCUACCUGCACCUUUCCCGAUUUAGGCAAGGAGACUUGGCUGGACAGCGGGAGGUGGAGAGGGAAAGGGAUGGUGACAGAAGGAAGGAGGAGGCCCCGGAAGCGAGGUCUCAGGAUAGCAUAGGCUCCCUGUUUCUUUUCCUUUCUUUGCUUCCUACAAGCAUUAACCUUGAGCCUAAAAGCACAAUAUGAGGAAAUAAGCAAACAAGAUGAGGGGCAGCACCAAAGAAAUGCUCUAGGCCCUAGGAAGGUUAGAUUUUUGAGAACACAUCAACUUGGGUAACACAAAAUAUGAGUAAAAACAAAUAUGAGAGAAAAACAUAUAUGUAAACUGAACACAAAAAUUGAAUUGAACCAUUAAAAGUUCGCUGAUCUUAUCCCUAAACAAACUUCUGGGAUAUGUGUAUUUCAUCAUUCGUGUGUUUGAAAUUAAAUUUUAUUUAACUGGUAUUUUUAAGCUAACUGUUCUACCACCAAAAUCAGUUUUAAAAUACACUUCUAGUUUCUGCUACAUUCUCAUAUAAUUUAAAAUCAGCCGUGUGAAGAAAAUACAAACCUUAGAUUCAAAGCCUAGAAUCAACUAUAUACCUAAAAUAUACCAGAACUGAUUGUUUUAUAAAUGAGCAACAGUGAGCAUUCUUCUCUUUAGAACCUGGCUCAUAACUCAUCUCUCCCACCAACCUUCUUGUUGCUUCCUCAAAUCUUCCCUUCUCUCCAGCUGAAAACUACAGCAUCAUCAUACAUAUCUGCCUUCUUCUCAUGUUAAAUGUAAUCUAUGCCUCGAGAAUCUCACCUAAUACCUGCUGGACAUUUCUAAACAAAUGUCCAUAUGUACCCCCCUCAGCAAAUUAUUCAACAGCUGAAAAGUGUCUUUCUCCAGAUUUGACAGUCUUGUUGUAUUCCCUAAAGAAGUUAAUGCCAACCUCAUCCUCUCAGUUGCUCAAGAGCAAAACUUCUACAUAAUCUUCUAUAACCCUUUCUCCCUGGCCCCUCAUCUCUAAUCAGUUACCAAAGUGUGCCCAAUCUAUCUCCGUACGGACUAUAAUUUACAACCCCAUCAGAUUUUAAGCUCUAUCAUAGUAAGAAUAUUAGAUUUGUUUGAAAUACUGUACCCAUUACCCAGUACCAUAUCUGGCACAAGAAGAUACACAGUGCAUAUUUGUUGACUAAAGUUAUAUAUUACUAUAUCUAAAGGCAAUUAUUUUAGUUGUUAGCCUUUAUAUUUCACAUAAUCACACAUGAGAGGAUUUUCAGGGAUCUUUUGCCCAUCACAGAACACUGAUCUAAAUUUGCUUAUAUUCCCUGUUUUCCUGACGCCCCAAAGUCCUUACCAAUAUGCACACAGACACACACACACACACAUACACACACACACACACACACACACACGUUUAACCUUAACAACAUUUCAAAUUGAUAAUCACUAUAUAGAAAUUAUUUUUAAAAGAAAAAGGCUAUUAGGCUAUUAUCUUUUUUUCAUCUUCUAGGCUUUCCUCAAAAUAAAGUGGAAAAUUGGCAAGCAAUGAGUCAAUUUGAUAAAAUGUAAACAGUCAAAUGAAAUAGAUCAGGCCAAAUGCUUUAUUGAAAUAUUUAGUUUCAUCCAUCUACUUAAUUGACAAAAUUGGCCAUAUUGUUAAAAGUUUAAUUUAUCUCAGCCUUGCUGAUAUAUCUAUAAUCAAAAGCAGCAUUUUGGAAUGGAAUAGUUCCUUAUACAUAUUUAUAUGGAGUUGACUUUUUAAAAAGAGUUUUCAACAAAAUUUCACAUAAUGUAGCUGAUGUAUAAUGACUAAGAAAAAUAGGAAAACACAAUUCAAUUGACAGUUAUGAAUUUCCUACUUUGCAGACAAUAAAACCUGCUAAGAGUAUGUUGGAAACACCAAAUAAAACAUGGGCUCCUCAGCUAUUGGGGGCAUGGAUUUGAAAGCUUCUGAUAGCAGAAAUUUCUUGCUGAUUGUUUUCUGCUAUCAACAACAUCCUCAGA
rnacentral:lncRNA from 1 species